ACCCUUGUAGCUCAAUGGAGAGAGUGCGGCACUACGAACGCCGAGAUUCAGGUUCGACUCCUGGCAGGGGUAC
rnacentral:tRNA from 1 species